CCUCUUGUUUCAUGCAGGGGAAAGAGAAAGAGAGAUUCAUUUUCAAGUUUACGCAAACCGGGACAAAUUUAGUCUAAAUCAUUAAUAAUUGUGGUGUUAUCAGUCAAUGUUAAUAUUGUGGUGAAAAAAUCGAUUAAUCAACCAGCUCUGCUAACAAUGAUUAGUGACAGUGAAUUACUACGACAGGAGCCGAAAGUGGGAGCAGAUCUUUUUGCCUGGAAAGACGCCACUGAUAACAUCCAAAUGCAUGUCAUGAAGGAGCAGGAUGCUACAAAAAAAUUGACCCAAAUUUACUUCUCCCUUCUCACCGACAAGUACGGUGAUGUCAGAGAUAUGACUGUCAACAAGGGACCUGCGAAUGUGUGUCUUGUAGGUAGAACAGAGUUGACCGUGUCUCAUUUUACAAGCGACGCUUUGGACCUCGAGGGGUGUAAAGUUAAGGAGCUUGAAGAACUAUUUGGCUGGAAAGUUGACCCUACCUUGGCAUACUCUUUCCACAUUUACACUGACAAUGAUUGGGUUGCUGACCAACUCAAAUUCCGCAUUAGAAGAAAACUUGGAGUGGUGUGUGCCAAAGCCCCGUACACCUCAGAAGUAGUGUUGGCGAAACAUGCUGGGAGUAUUGAUGAUCAUUUACGGCAGUUCCUCCACCGUCUUCCCCAAAUUAGGGAAGAUUAUUUCAACAACCCACCUCCUCCUCCUCCAGACAAACUAAAAAACCCGCGGCCACUCCCACCGUCACAAACGAGACGACAAUGUGAGCUGUGUGGUUUUGUUUUUGUAAGGGAUGAACACCAGCCAUAUAAAAGUAUGCAUUUCUUUUCCUUAUUUUGCGAAACAAUUUUUCUGGUGUUAUAUACAAUAUUAAUUUGUCUAGACAAGCCACUAUUCCGGACCAAACGCAUUAACUUGUGAUCUCUGCACCUGCAGCUUUGAAACACAAACAAGCAGACAAUCUUAUCGAUCCAAGUACCAUCCAGGUGCAGAACCACAAAAGAGGAAUAAAUACGGUAUCCCUGAUGUUAGUGAGGAGGACGCUGCUAAAUGUGGUGCCAUAAUGGAGCUUCUCCCAAUGGAAGAUGGGUCGAAGACGACCACGUAUAGGUGCAUGUGGGGACGAGAGGGUGGACAAGCGUGUGAUAGGAGGAACACCGGAUUGGACAAUUCUCGCGCCCACGCCUGUACCCAUUUAGGACUAAAACCCCAUACCUGCCCUGCAUCUGGAUGUAACUAUUCCUCUUCAUUUUACGGCAGUACCGUCAAGCACUACAAAAGUCAACAUCAAGGAGAAGAAAAACCAGAGGAACAAGAUGAGAAAAGUGAUGAUGAACCCCCAGAGAAAAGGACAAAAUCUUCAGCUCCAUUACGAAAAUUAAAUACACGAAAAACUUAUUAAGGGACAAUGAUUAACUGCUUACCUUGUUUCAUGCGAUCAAUUUCAUAUGGACUCAAAAA